CCCUUAGAUGUCCUGGGCUGCACGCGCGCUACACUGAUGUGUCCAGUAAGCACCUAACCUAUUCCGAGAGGAGCGGGUAACCUUAGCAAAGCACAUCGUGAUGGGGAUAGAUUAUUGCAAUUAUUAGUCUUGAACGAGGAAUUCCUAGUAAGCACAAGUCAUCAGCUUGUGUUGAUUACGUCCCUGCCCUUUGUACACACCGCCCGUCGCUCCUACCGAUUGAAUGUUCCGGUGAGCUCUUCGGACUGCGCGGCCUGCAGUUUCUGCGUUCCGUGCGGAAAGUUGUGCAAACCUUAACAUUUAGAGGAAGGAGAAGUCGUAACA
rnacentral:rRNA from 1 species